GCUUGCUUAGGCAGAACAUUUAUUAAUACUAGAACGACACCGAGAAGCUUAGCCUAGCCCCUGUACAAGAAUGACCCCAAAUGUAAAGCACUACACACACAC